AUUAAAACUAUUCCAAAGGUGGGCUUAAUCUGUCAGGUACUCGUGCAGCUGCCACAUGUAUUCCAGAUGUUCCAAUCUGACAGCUUCAUGGACUAGGAUGCCAGGUACAGAUGCCUGCUGCUUCUCAUUCUGAGCACCAGAGGGCAGCAGUGUUAAGUCUGCACAAAGGGAGAGAAAAUCUUUUUAUAACUAUGAAAUAAUUUAAGUAACUGGUACAUUUUAGAGUAAUUUUUUACUGAAACUCAUAUUGUAACGUGCACAAGAAAUUGUGAGUACCAUGCUACCAUUGUUUGUGGACUGAAAGCUGUGUAUACAAGUUCAUACUGAAUUUCCAUGACUACUGCAUUAACAAAAUAUGAUAUUUUGAAACAAUCACAUUCAGAUGACUGCACACUGUCAGCCUAUAAUGUUUGAGUUGUCUGCAAAUAUUUAAACUACAUUAUCCUUUAGGUUUCCGAUUCUUUGUGGAUAAGAUCCUGCCCCAUUACAGACACUCUUGUCAUGUUGCACACUUUCAUCUAUUUGCCAUCAUGUUUGUAUUUUGUUCGCCUGCGAAACUACCUGAAGGAGGACAUCAGUUUCUCUAGUGUGAGCAAAGAUCAGAGGUGUCUCGAGCACGACAUUUCUUCCAGAAAGGAGAAAAACAGUUUAUGCUCUCCUCUGAGAGAUUCCACUUCUAAAAGAGAUAUGCUAUCCAGGGGAUCCAUAACCUUAUCCUCUAUGGGUUGCCCAUGUACCCUUACUUCUACAGUGAAGUUUGUAAUGUGCUUCAGGCUGGUGUUAGAGAGGGUGGUGGCCCUGUACUCGUGAUAUGACAUGCACGAUCUGGCUGCCAUCACCGGGCCCGACCGCGCCGCUCAGAUGCUGCAGUCCAAAAAAACAGUGCACCUUUUCAUCACAGGAAAGGAGAAAAACGCAUGAAAAUCGAGUGAAAUUUUCAACCUCUCAGACAAAGAAAAUUUCAAUCAUUUGCCUGAAUGUAAUGUUAUUCUCAUGUCUUUGUGGUGUUUUUUUUUUUUUUUUUAAAUAAAUAAAUAAUGUCUUCUUUCGCUGUAUUCACAGCCCA